rnacentral:snRNA from 1 species
GAAGAUAUUUGCACACCAAGU